CAANAGGUAGCUUACACCCGACCCCAAAGCACCUAGCUUACACCUAGACGACGUGGCCCUCCCACCCCCUUGAG
rnacentral:tRNA from 1 species